UACGUAGGCAGCGAGCGUUGUUCGGAGUUACUGGGCGUAAAGGGUGUGUAGGCGGUUGUUUAAGUUUGGUGUGAAAUCUCCCGGCUCAACUGGGAGGGUGCGCCGAAUACUGAAUGACUUCGAGUGCGGGAGAGGAGAGUGGAAUUCCUGGUGUAGCGGUGGAAUGCGCAGAUAUCAGGAGGAACACCGAUGGCGAAGGCAGCUCGCUGGGACGGUACUGACGCUGAGGCGCGAAAGCGUGGGGAGCGAACAGG
rnacentral:rRNA from 1 species